rnacentral:rRNA from 1 species
AUACUUAGUACGGCGAGUGAAGCGGUAAAAGCUCAAAUUUGAAAUCUGGUACUUUCAGUGCCCGAGUUGUAAUUUGUAGAAUUUGUCUUUGAUUAGGUCCUUGUCUAUGUUCCUUGGAACAGGACGUCAUAGAGGGUGAGAAUCCCGUUUGGCGAGGAUACCUUUUCUCUGUAAGACUUUUUCGAAGAGUCGAGUUGUUUGGGAAUGCAGCUCAAAGUGGGUGGUAAAUUCCAUCUAAAGCUAAAUAUUGGCGAGAGACCGAUAGCGAACAAGUACAGUGAUGGAAAGAUGAAAAGAACUUUGAAAAGAGAGUGAAAAAGUACGUGAAAUUGUUGAAAGGGAAGGGCAUUUGAUCAGACAUGGUGUUUUUUGCAUGCACUCGCCUCUCGUGGGCUUGGGCCUCUCAAAAAUUUCACUGGGCCAACAUCAAUUCUGGCAGCAGGAUAAAUCAUUAAGAAUGUAGCUACUUCGGUAGUGUUAUAGCUUUUUGGAAUACUGUUAGCCGGGAUUGAGGACUGCGCUUCGGCAAGGAUGUUGGCAUAAUGGUUAAAUGCCGCCCGUC